UGCCUCGGUGCAUUGCAUCGUGUCAGCGAGUGKAUUCGAUAAGUCAUAACGACUCUCGGCAACGGAUAUCUCGGCUCUCGCAUCGAUGAAGAACGUARCAAAAUGCGAUACGUGGUGUGAAUUGCAGGAUCCCGUGAACCAUCGAGUUUUUGAACGCAAGUUGCGCCCGAAGCCUUUAGGCCGAGGGCACGUCUGCCUGGGCGU
rnacentral:rRNA from 1 species